rnacentral:tRNA from 1 species
UUUCUAUUGGUGUUAAGCACGUUAAUUUUUGAUGUUAAAGGAAAAGCCAAUUUAUAGAAAA